UACGAAGGGGGCUAGCGUUGCUCGGAAUCACUGGGCGUAAAGCGCACGUAGGCGGAUUGUUAAGUCAGGGGUGAAAUCCUGGAGCUUAACUCCAGAACUGCCUUUGAUACUGGCGAUCUCGAGUCCGGGAGAGGUGAGUGGAACUGCGAGUGUAGAGGUGAAAUUCGUAGAUAUUCGCAAGAACACCAGUGGCGAAGGCGGCUCACUGGCCCGGUACUGACGCUGAGGUGCGAAAGCGUGGGGAGCAAACAGG
rnacentral:rRNA from 1 species